rnacentral:rRNA from 1 species
CAAGUCGAGGGGCAGCAGGACUGUAGCAAUACAGUUGCUGGCGACCGGCAAACGGGUGCGGAACACGUACGCAACCUUCCUUUAAGUGAGGGAUAGCCCAGGGAAACUUGGAUUAAUACCUCGUAAUAUUUGAGAGUGGCAUCACUUUCUAAUUAUAGCUCCGGCGCUUGAAGAUGAGCGUGCGACUGAUUAGGUAGUUGGCGGGGUAACGGCCCACCAAGCCUGCGAUCAGUAACUGGUGUGAGAGCACGACCAGUCACACGGGCACUGAGACACGGGCCCGACUCCUACGGGAGGCAGCAGUAAGGAAUAUUGGUCAAUGGACGCAAGUCUGAACCAGCCAUGCCGCGUGGAGGAUGAAGGUCCUCUGGAUUGUAAACUUCUUUUAUCUGGGAAGAAACCCAUAUUUUCUAGUGUGGUUGACGGUACCAGAUGAAUGAGCACCGGCUAACUCCGUGCCAGCAGCCGCGGUAAUACGGAGGGUGCAAGCGUUAUCCGGAUUCACUGGGUUUAAAGGGUGCGUAGGCGGGUUGGUAAGUCCGUGGUGAAAUCUCCGAGCUUAACUCGGAAACUGCCGUGGAUACUAUCAAUCUUGAAUAUCGUGGAGGUAAGCGGAAUAUGUCAUGUAGCGGUGAAAUGCUUAGAUAUGACAUAGAACACCAAUUGCGUAGGCAGCUUACUACACGAUCAUUGACGCUNAGGCACGAAAGCGUGGGAGCAAACAGGAUUAGAUACCCUGGUAGUCCACGCCCUAAACGAUGGAUACUCGACAUCAGCGAUACACUGUUGGUGUCUGAGCGAAAGCAUUAAGUAUCCCACCUGGGAAGUACGAUCGCAAGAUUGAAACUCAAAGGAAUUGGCGGGGGUCCGCACAAGCGGUGGAGCAUGUGG